UUGUGACACAUUGCUAUGUAAAUCAAAUGUAUAAUUAUCAUAUCAUAUAGUUAUGGAACUGACAGCAGUGCUACCAUUAUUGAUGAUGUUAGUUGCUCGAAUAGUAACUAUUUAACUCUACAGCAGUGUUCUCUUUCUACAUCUAUUUCAACUUUAAGCUCUUGCUCUCUUAGUACUUCAUAUGAUGCUUAUGUAGUUUGCCAUAGUACAAGAAUCUGGAAUAAUCCUUAUUCUGGACAGAUUCGUCUACAAGGAGGUACUUAUUCAAGUUAUGGUAGACUGGAAGUAUAUUGUAAUGGACAGUGGGGUACAGUAUGUGAUGAUACCUUUGAUGCAACUGAUGCUAGAGUUGCCUGCCGUCAGUUAGGAUACAGUGAUUACAAUUCAUACAGUGGAAACCUUGCUGGGUCUAGCUCACAACCUAUUUGGCUGGACAGGGUUUAUUGCAGCAGUUCAGACAGUUGUCUUGCCUAUUGUGAAUCUUGUCCAUCUUCAGAAUAUCAUAACUGUAGACACAGUGAAGAUGUUGCUUUGGGAUGUGAAUUUGACACCUCUCGAACUGAUUCAACUAAUACACUAAGUACUUGUCAAUAUGCUGACUCCUCAGUUAAUGUAGGAGGG